UACGAAGGGUGCUAGCGUUGUUCGGAAUUACUGGACGUAAAGCGCGCGUAGGCGGCUAUUCAAGUCAGAGGUGAAAUCCCUGGGCUCAACCCAGGAAUUGCCUUUGAAACUGUAUAGCUUGAGUGUCGGAGGGGAUAGCGGAAUUCCUAAUGUAGAGGUGAAAUUCGUAGAUAUUAGGAGGAACACCGGUGGCGAAGGCGGCUAUCUGGACGACAACUGACGCUGAGGCGCGAAAGUACGGGGAGCAAACAGG
rnacentral:rRNA from 1 species